rnacentral:sRNA from 1 species
UUCCCCCUUUUAAAGAUCUUUAAAAGGGGGAAUUUUAAAGAUCUUUAAAAGGGGGAA